rnacentral:rRNA from 1 species
AUUGAACGCUGGCGGUAUGCCUUACACAUGCAAGUCGAACGGUAGAGGGGCAACCCUUGAGAGUGGCGAACGGGUGAGUAAUACAUCGGAACGUGCCCAGUCGUGGGGGAUAACGUAGCGAAAGCUACGCUAAUACCGCAUACGACCUGAGGGUGAAAGCGGGGGAUCGCAAGACCUCGCGCGAUUGGAGCGGCCGAUGGCAGAUUAGGUAGUUGGUGGGGUAAAGGCCUACCAAGCCUGCGAUCUGUAGCUGGUCUGAGAGGACGACCAGCCACACUGGGACUGAGACACGGCCCAGACUCCUACGGGAGGCAGCAGUGGGGAAUUUUGGACAAUGGGCGAAAGCCUGAUCCAGCCAUACCGCGUGCGGGAAGAAGGCCUUCGGGUUGUAAACCGCUUUUGUCAGGGAAGAAAUCUUCUGGGCUAAUACCUCGGGAGGAUGACGGUACCUGAAGAAUAAGCACCGGCUAACUACGUGCCAGCAGCCGCCGUAAUAC